AGACCGUGAUGUGGACAUAUCCUCAUCAUGUCCUGGUAUCUCUCCCACGCUUCGUAGAGAGAUUAUACAUCUUUUUGUCGGAAUCCGUUGAUUUGAGCUCUCAGCAU